UUUUUUCAGAGUCAUUGUGAUUCAACGAUGAUGCUAUAUGGCUAUGAAUCAUGGAAAAUUGUGAUCUCUAAAGCAUCAAAAUAUGAGCACUGGGAAAACUGACAAUGCUUGAAAAAAUGUUUCUCCUGGGAAAGAAACAGAGUAAAAUGUUCCAGAUGACUGUGGUGAAUACACAAUUCCCAAUAAAGUCAAGAAGAGGCAUGAGGUAUAAAGAUAGAUGAGAAAACUGAGUAAAGUAAGAGAUCAAUU